rnacentral:rRNA from 1 species
CACGAAGGGGGCUAGCGUUGCUCGGAAUCACUGGGCGUAAAGCGCACGUAGGCGGAUUGUUAAGUCAGGGGUGAAAUCCUGGAGCUCAACUCCAGAACUGCCUUUGAUACUGGCGAUCUCGAGUCCGGGAGAGGUGAGUGGAACUGCGAGUGUAGAGGUGAAAUUCGUAGAUAUUCGCAAGAACACCAGUGGCGAAGGCGGCUCACUGGCCCGGUACUGACGCUGAGGUGCGAAAGCGUGGGGAGCAAACAGG